UGUAGCCUGAAGGCCUGAAACGAAACCUAACAGACGUUACUUCUCUUGCCAGCCUGUUUGGAUGUCGGUGGAUGUUCACCUGUUGCGUCGUCGCUGCUAUUGACUCCAACAGACAUUUUACCAGCCUUUUACAGCGAGGAGCUGUGUGUGACCAGUGUUCCACUACCACGCACCGUGUAGCUUCUUUUAUCACAGAGCGAAGCUGUCGGCGGGCCCCUGCCCAGAGCCUGCCUCACGUCGAACAGACCGGACGCCUGUAUUUGGUCUCAAGAAGAAAUGCCGUGGAAGUGUUUGCUACGAGUUCACCCGAGUGGUGGGGCAAAAUCUCAGAGAAAACUUCUUUGAGUCACUUGACCGUUUCCCACCAAACUUGAUGGACCUCUUCAGGAAGAAGAGGGGCCUCACCGGACAACUUUUAACUGAUCAAAGACCACUGAGCCAACAGACAUCAGGUGCCUUUGUCUUCGUGGACUGCCAGUCAUCUUGGGGGAUAAUCCCUCUGCGUUCUUCAAAACCUGCUCUGAUGUGACUGACAAGGACUUGUACAGUCCGACUCCAGUGGGAAUCCUCUGCAUUGAAGAACAUCCUCAGCUCAACCCAUCCAGAGUGGCCAUCGUCUUGGAGGGGACUGUGGUGAUGGAGGAACUGGCCAACCUAGCACAGGCCUUCUGUGUCCUUUUUGGACUGAUUUAUGCCUUGCACUUGGAUUACCCCAAGUGCAUGAAAAACACUUUCCAGUUUAAUCAACAGGUGAUGCUCAACCUGGGCAGAGGUGAGCUGAAACCCAAAAUUCAAUCUUUGAAGAAUCAACUCUCAGGGUGUUGAAUACACUGCUCCGGAUAUCGGUGCUUAGUUAUUUGUAAUGUUGCACUUUUAUAACACCAUGUUUACCGUUGGAACUGUUUGAUAUGCAAGUUUUUAUAUAUUGCUAUGGAUUUUGCAAUUUGAUUCCAUCCUGAUUGUUAUGCGAGUUAUGUAUGGACAGAGAUAUGUGCCACUAGAAACUGAAUUAGAAUAUUGACAUUUGAAUUUGAAUUGCUCAAUUUGAAUACUUUAAUUAAAAAAAUGAAUUUGGAUCACAUAAUUUGAAUUGUAUUGUUUAACCUGAAUAACUGAAUUGAAAAAAUUUAUAUGAAUAGCAUAAUAUAAAACUGAAUUUAUUUGCUUUGAAACUAUUCAGUUUCCACAAUUCAAGUAAUCAAAUUGAGCAAUUCAAAUUAUGUCAAUAAUUCAAAUUCAGUUUCUAGUGGCACAUAUCUCUGUCCAGUCAGGUUAUUAGCACUGAUCUAACAGUUUGGUCCCAUUCCAAUUGCUAACUACAGUAUGUUUUAUAGCACUGAUUUUGCAAUUUGAUUCCAUCCUUAUUGGUAUGUGAUUCAUGUUAUUAGCACUGAUCUAGCAUCUAGCAUUCCAUUCCACUUGCUAUGUUUUAAGGCAUUGGUACUGAUUUUGUUUAAUUCCAUCCAGACUCAAAAGAGUCCUACUUGAUGCAGUCUUUGAUUUGAUGUGAUAUUUUGAAUACAAACCUAUUCUUUUUGUAUAAAAUGAUAAAGACACAGAUGCAACUCCAUUAUAGUUCAGCAGACCAAAGAGAGAUUGUAACUUGCGGUGAGAGUGACUGCAUUAAUGUUCUCACACUGUACUGACAUUGUUGUUAAAAUGUUAAGAGGCAAGGUUUUUGUGACCUAACUUUAAUAAAAUAUGGAAAGAAUGUA